UACGGGGGGGGCAAGCGUUGUUCGGAAUUACUGGGCGUAAAGGGCUCGUAGGCGGCCAACUAAGUCCGACGUGAAAUCCCCAGGCUUAACCUGGGAACUGCGUCGGAUACUGGAUGGCUUGAAUCCGGGAGAGGGAUGCGGAAUUCCAGGUGUAGCGGUGAAAUGCGUAGAUAUCUGGAGGAACACCGGUGGCGAAGGCGGCAUCCUGGACCGGUACUGACGCUGAGGCGCGAAAGCGUGGGGAGCAAACGGG
rnacentral:rRNA from 1 species